UCCUCAAUAGCUCAAUAGGUAGAGCAUUCGGCUGUUAACCGAAGUGUCGCAGGUUCGAGUCCUGCUUGGGGAG
rnacentral:tRNA from 1 species